GAUGAACGCUGGCGGCGUGCCUAAUACAUGCAAGUCGAGCGAACGGACGAGAAGCUUGCUUCUCUGAUGUUAUCGGCGGACGGGUGAGUAACACGUGGAUAACCUACCUAUAAGACUGGGAUAACUUCGGGAAACCGGAGCUAAUACCGGAUAAUAUUUUGAACCGCAUGGUUCAAAAGUGAAAGACGGUCUUGCUGUCACUUAUAGAUGGAUCCGCGCUGCAUUAGCUAGUUGGUAAGGUAACGGCUUACCAAGGCAACGAUGCGUAGCCGACCUGAGAGGGUGAUCGGCCACACUGGAACUGAGACACGGUCCAGACUCCUACGGGAGGCAGCAGUAGGGAAUCUUCCGCAAUGGGCGAAAGCCUGACGGAGCAACGCCGCGUGAGUGAUGAAGGUCUUCGGAUCGUAAAACUCUGUUAUUAGGGAAGAACAUAUGUGUAAGUAACUGUGCACAUCUUGACGGUACCUAAUCAGAAAGCCACGGCUAACUACGUG
rnacentral:rRNA from 1 species